rnacentral:lncRNA from 1 species
UCCUGGUGCAAAUUGCACGAAGCUUCAAAUUGACAUGGUGAAAAUUAUGGCAUAUGCUCUCGCGCUCGUCAUGAUGAAUGUGGUCCUAUUGGCUCAAGAGUUUUAUGUUGUCUCUCCAUGUAGAUGAUGACAAAAUUCUCAAUCAAUGCAGAAAUCAAUAUGCGGCUCUUCGGCAAAGAUGCAGAGAAGUGAACUCAUGGAUGUUGUCGAAAGUCAAUUGGAUCGCUAAAUUUAAAAAUAUCAAUUUUGGUGAAUUCAUGAGAACUUUGAGUUUGAUUUUUGGAUAGGUUGUAGACUUAAGAGUCUAUUUUCUAUUGAAUCAAGUCGGUCUUCUAGCUCUCCUACACCAAGAUGCAAACGUUUUGGUGAGACUCCACAAUCUGCAAAACAAUAAUGACAGAAUUGAAGACCAACUUCAAAAAUUAAUUCUCGUCAAUCCAUGAAGAAUUUUACCUUGAUUUUUGGAUAUGUUGUAGACUUUGAUGUCUAGUUUCUGUAGAAACAAGUCGUUCGUCAUUCGGAUUCUCCUACACCACGAUAGAGACGAUUUGGUGGGACUGCAUAGAGCUAUAAAAAAAGAAGACAGAUUUGAUAGCAAACUUCAAAAAUCAAUUCCCAUCAAUUCAGAAGGAUUUUGAUUUUGAAUUUCGGAUAUGUCGUAGCCCUCUGAGUGUAGUUUCUGGAACAUCAAAUGGAUCAUGAUUUCGACGAUUCUACAACAAGUUAUGAAUUUUCCACCACGGGCGUGCUGUGCUGAAAAAAAAAAGUGACGAAAAUUGAGUUUGGUAUGCCUCAAGUUGACAAGAAUAUGUGUAUUUAUAGAAAUCAAAAGUACAUAAGUUGUGUUCCUACAAAUUAUGAAAAAAAAAAACCAUAUUUAAAACAAAAUUAUGGUAAAUUUUCCUAGGAACCGAAUUAUGGUAAGUUUCUAUAGGAAUCAAGUUAAGGAAAAUUCCAUUGGAAUCAAGUUAUGGAAAAUUUGCAUUGGAAUCAAAUAUGGAAAGUUUUGGAAGACUCCAAAAAAAAUAAAAAAAUAAUUAC